rnacentral:tRNA from 1 species
GCCGAAGUGGUGGAACUGGUAGACACGCUAUCUUGAGGGGGUAGUGGGUUUCGCCCGUGGGGGUUCGAGUCCCCCCUUCGGCA